rnacentral:rRNA from 1 species
AUAAUGGGUCAGCGACUUAUAUUCUGUAGCAAGGUUAACCGAAUAGGGGAGCCGAAGGGAAACCGAGUCUUAACUGGGCGUUAAGUUGCAGGGUAUAGACCCGAAACCCGGUGAUCUAGCCAUGGGCAGGUUGAAGGUUGGGUAACACUAACUGGAGGACCGAACCGACUAAUGUUGAAAAAUUAGCGGAUGACUUGUGGCUGGGGGUGAAAGGCCAAUCAAACCGGGAGAUAGCUGGUUCUCCCCGAAAGCUAUUUAGGUAGCGCCUCGUGAAUUCAUCUCCGGGGGUAGAGCACUGUUUCGGCAAGGGGGUCAUCCCGACUUACCAACCCGAUGCAAACUGCGAAUACCGGAGAAUGUUAUCACGGGAGACACACGGCGGGUGCUAACGUCCGUCGUGAAGAGGGAAACAACCCAGACCGCCAGCUAAGGUCCCAAAGUCAUGGUUAAGUGGGAAACGAUGUGGGAAGGCCCAGACAGCCAGGAUGUUGGCUUAGAAGCAGCCAUCAUUUAAAGAAAGCGUAAUAGCUCACUGGUCGAGUCGGCCUGCGCGGAAGAUGUAACGGGGCUAAACCAUGCACCGAAGCUGCGGCAGCGACGCUUAUGCGUUGUUGGGUAGGGGAGCGUUCUGUAAGCCUGCGAAGGUGUGCUGUGAGGCAUGCUGGAGGUAUCAGAAGUGCGAAUGCUGACAUAAGUAACGAUAAAGCGGGUGAAAAGCCCGCUCGCCGGAAGACCAAGGGUUCCUGUCCAACGUUAAUCGGGGCAGGGUGAGUCGACCCCUAAGGCGAGGCCGAAAGGCGUAGUCGAUGGGAAACAGGUUAAUAUUCCUGUACUUGGUGUUACUGCGAAGGGGGGACGGAGAAGGCUAUGUUGGCCGGGCGACGGUUGUCCCGGUUUAAGCGUGUAGGCUGGUUUUCCAGGCAAAUCCGGAAAACUAAGGCUGAGGCGUG